rnacentral:lncRNA from 1 species
CUCCGCCAGGGGCUGAACGGGAGGUCGGAGGGGGUGAACUGUGAGCGGCGAGAUGAGGGGAUACGUGAAGUGAGGAUGGCGCAGGGAGUCGUAAGGUGAGAUAGAAAUGAGGUAGCAAUCUGCUAGAUUUCACCUUGAUCCGCUGCAGAAAGGUACAGCAAGCUCCAAAGGGCCAUCCAUUACAGGACUUCAUUUCCUCCAGGAAUAGAGAAUUACAGCCUCAGCUCAAGACACUUCUGAGCUUUCGCUUUAUUAAGUUGAAC